CUCAUUUACAAAUAGGGAAACCAAGGCACAAUGGAAUGAAAUGCAGCUAAAAUUAGUCGUCGGUAGUCGUCGGUGAGAUGAGUGCUCCUCGCCUUCCUGGCACGGUCUAAAAGGUGCAGGGACCUCAAGACCUGGUCACUUUCUGAGCUGUACUUUCAACUACUGAUCUUUGCCAUAGCAGAUAAGAAACAGGAACACCAAAGUGAAAAAAAGCAGUGGCAUUCACUAAUAACUCUAGAGACAAGCAGGUACAUGGUCGUGCUCCAAGUGCAAGCUCCCUCCGCCCCUCACGAGCUUCGAGCAGCCCAUCCUCCUCAACGUGAACCUGCUUUUAGAUGGUGUUCCUUGCAUAGACCUUGCUUGAAAAAGGAGCGAUUCUCCAACUCCUGCCCCCAUAAGCGCUUUAGCACUGAAACAGUGAACAGUGCCCUUCACUCUUGCGCUAUAUAGCGACAUUUAAUAAUACUAACCAUCCGCUACCAGAGGUUGAAUUCUAGCCCUUGAAUCCUCUGCUUGCUGAAGCCAGGCUACCCCCAUGUGACUGAACGGCUAUGGGAGUGGGUUCCUCUCAUUUCCUCUGCCUUCUGCUUAUUGGCUUCAGGGAGUGACCUCUCAACGACUGGGUAGUGGAGCAGAAUGAAGAUGGAAAAGCAUCAGAACUUGGCUCCAAAGUAUGCUCCCCACCUGCCUUCUUCCAAGGCCAGAGAGAAUAGCAGAUUUUCCCCUUCACAGUGGAAUUGGGCAUGAGUGAUUAUCAAAUGGAAAAAGAGCUGAAAUGAAGCCAAGAAAAAUAAAGCUAUCUUCGGAAGACAAAUCAGAUGUGUGUUCUUCCUAAUCCAACAUCCAUCCAAGAAAUGGAAGAUUAUGCAUCUGUGCCUGAGAAGAGGGUCCAAGUUAUUGGAAUCUGGUUCUAGCAUGCAUUUGGUCUACGCACUGAAAGUUGUUUUUUUUUCCCCCACAAAUGUGUGUAAGUCUGAACAUUUGCAUCACAAGAAAAUCUAGUCUGUUUCUCAUUUUUCUUCUUGAGUGGUAUUUAAAUAGCAUGUUUAUACUUUAUGACCUCUAAUCAGAAGGGAAUUUAAGAUGCUUUGUCUAUCCACAUUAUUUUGGGCCAUUUUAUACUCAGGGCUGUAAAUUGUAUACUUAAAAUCUUUUAUUGAUAAAGAUGUUCUCCUUUGUUUAUGAGUGCAUGGACAAUCAUAGAAAUAGGCAGCCCUGUCCCAAAAGGAGUGUGCUGACCAGGAUCUAUAAUCUGCCUCAUAUGCCCCAAAGAGAGUCAAAACAUUAAUAAUUUAAACCUGAAUAGACAGAGUUCUCCACUUGUUUUCCAUAACAGACCCUCAGAGAAAACUUUUGAAUGUACUCUCAAAUUCUAUAACAUCUUGAAUGAUGAUUCCAAGUUUUUAUUGUAGAGAAUAAAAAUGUAUUAAUAACCCCCAAAUCUUUUAGAGCCAACCCACAAAUAUUUUCUUCAUGAUGCACUGUCGUAACAAAAGGACAAAAGUUUUAUUUUUUAGUGUCUUUUCCAAUCAUAUCAACAUAAGUACAAUUGGGAAAAAAAUAUCCACAUGACUCACUUUUAUAUAUCCUCUGCCUCUUUAGCAUUUCAUAAUUGUUUUUCUCUAAACAAUUAAAAUUUUUUUCUUUAAAUAGUUUUUAACUGUGUAAGUGAGACAUAAAUCUGCUUACAAAGAUGAAGGUAUUCUAAACCUAAGUACAGUUCUACUUCCCUUUUUUCAAAGAGCCGUUGAAAUGCUCCUAAAAGAAUUA